GAUGAACGCUGGCGGCGUGCUUAACGCAUGCAAGUCGAACGAUGAAGCCGGAGCUUGCUCUGGUGGAUUAGUGGCGAACGGGUGAGUAACACGUGAGUAACCUGCCCUUGACUCUGGGAUAAGCGCUGGAAACGGCGUCUAAUACCGGAUACGAGCUUCCACCGCAUGGUGAGUUGCUGGAAAGAAUUUCGGUCAAGGAUGGACUCGCGGCCUAUCAGCUUGUUGGUGAGGUAACGGCUCACCAAGGCGACGACGGGUAGCCGGCCUGAGAGGGUGACCGGCCACACUGGGACUGAGACACGGCCCAGACUCCUACGGGAGGCAGCAGUGGGGAAUAUUGCACAAUGGGCGCAAGCCUGAUGCAGCAACGCCGCGUGAGGGACGAAGGCCUUCGGGUCGUAAACCUCUUUUAGCAGGGAAGAAGCGAAAGUGACGGUACCUGCAGAAAAAGCACCGGCUAACUACGUGCCAGCAGCCGCGGUAAGAC
rnacentral:rRNA from 1 species